rnacentral:rRNA from 1 species
CAAGCCUGAUCCAGCAAUGCCGCGUGUGUGAAGAAGGCCUUCGGGUUGUAAAGCACUUUUGUCCGGAAAGAAAACCUCUGGGUUAAUACCCCGGGGGGAUGACGGUACCGGAAGAAUAAGCACCGGCUAACUACGUGCCAGCAGCCGCGGUAAUACGUAGGGUGCAAGCGUUAAUCGGAAUUACUGGGCGUAAAGCGUGCGCAGGCGGUGAUGCAAGACCGAUGUGAAAUCCCCGGGCUUAACCUGGGAACUGCAUUGGUGACUGCAUCGCUAGAGUGUGGCAGAGGGGGGUAGAAUUCCACGUGUAGCAGUGAAAUGCGUAGAGAUGUGGAGGAAUACCGAUGGCGAAGGCAGCCCCCUGGGCCAAUACUGACGCUCAUGCACGAAAGCGUGGGGAGCAAACAGGAUUAGAUACCCUGGUAGUCCACGCCCUAAACGAUG